ensembl:lncRNA
AUCAGGUUCUCUAGAUGAGGGAUACCAGAAGGCAGAAGGUGGGGGACAACCAUCAUGGCUGCCUAUUACGUGCAACGUACAGGACUCGCAACUUCAAUUGUGUCACCUCUGAUCCUCAUGAAGACGCUGGUGGAGGGAGAGGCUUGCAUGUUGGUGACAGAUUGAUGAUGCGGUCAGUUUGCCUCUGUCCUGGGAUUAGAAGCCGGAACCCUGAAAUGCAAUCUUGGAAGUCUCACCCGCGGAGCGGACAUGCUCCCUGGGACUCUUUCCCAAUUGGGACUUCAGACGUGCUGUGACAUAGGACUUCCCAGUGAUGUUUGAGUCUGGAUGUUGGUCAAAACCCAGUUUGGUGAUGUAUUCUCUGC